UGAGGGCUGCUCUGUUCUGAGUGACAAUUACCUCAGCACAGCCUCGACCAAUCAGCACCAAGUAUUCAAGUCAGGUGAUACCCUCUCCUCGCCGUCUCCUCAGCCAUUCGCCCUGCGUCCGCUGAUGUGAUGUGAUGGGUCUCCGGUUGUGUUGCAGCGGUGAGGUGGUGUUGCAUCUUUCCUCAGCAGGCGUGUUGUGGUGGAUUGCGGUGUGAAGGGAGAGGUGGAUCAGGUGGUGACAGAGAGGGUGGCCAGCUUGUUCCUCCCUCCUGCCACAAAGCCACAGCACAGGCAGUUCCUGCAGUGAGACUGUCAAGGCACAAGUUUGUGCACAUAUCCAGGACGUGAAGGUGAUGGGAACGUGUUCUGUAGGAGGGAGCAGAGCUGUAGUAGUACCCCAGAGUCUGCUGCUGUGCUGGGAGGAGGAGAGAAACAUCAGCAGUAGUAGUGGUAGUAGAAGUAUUCAGCAGUGGUGGGGCUCUGCUACUGCUACUGCUGUCAGUGGUGCAGCAGUUCACUCCUCCACAGCUGCUGCCUUCCCUCACCUACAAUGAACAACUAUGAAUAAUACCUCUCAUGCAAUCAGGCAGCGCUCAGCUGUACUCACCGAUAGACACUACUAAGAAUUACCUGUGGGCCACAUGACAAGGCCCACGCCAGCCAGGCUUGGUUGACAAUCAAUAACAACAACAACAUCUCGUGCAAUGAAUAACACUGAAUAACACCUCUUCCCUGCAUCAUCAACAAUCAAUAACACCUGCUUUGCUUCACACUGAUGCUGCCCUCUCUCUCUCUCUCUCUCUCUCUCUCUCUCUCUCUCUCUCUCUCUCUCUCUCUCUCUCUCUCUCUCUCUCUCUCUCUC